rnacentral:rRNA from 1 species
CCUACGGUGCGCAGCAGUGGGGAAUAUUGGACAAUGGGCGAAAGCCUGAUCCAGCCAUGCCGCGUGUGUGAAGAAGGCCUUCGGGUUGUAAAGCACUUUCAGUGGGGAAGAAAGCCUUGGGGCUAAUACCCUCGAGGAAGGACAUCACCCACAGAAGAAGCACCGGCUAACUCCGUGCCAGCAGCCGCGGUAAUACGGAGGGUGCGAGCGUUAAUCGGAAUUACUGGGCGUAAAGCGCGCGUAGGCGGUCUGAUAAGCCGGUUGUGAAAGCCCCGGGCUCAACCUGGGAACGGCAUCCGGAACUGUCAGGCUAGAGUGCAGGAGAGGAAGGUAGAAUUCCCGGUGUAGCGGUGAAAUGCGUAGAGAUCGGGAGGAAUACCAGUGGCGAAGGCGGCCUUCUGGACUGACACUGACGCUGAGGUGCGAAAGCGUGGGUAGCAAACAGGAUUAGAUACCCAGUAGUC